CACGUAGGGUGCGAGCGUUGUCCGGAAUCAUUGGGCGUAAAGAGCGUGUAGGCGGUCCGGUAAGUCGGCUGUGAAAGUCCAGGGCUCAACCCUGGGAUGCCGGUCGAUACUGCCGGACUAGAGUUCGGAAGAGGCGAGUGGAAUUCCCGGUGUAGCGGUGAAAUGCGCAGAUAUCGGGAGGAACACCUAUGGCGAAGGCAGCUCGCUGGGACGUUACUGACGCUGAGACGCGAAAGCGUGGGGAGCAAACAGG
rnacentral:rRNA from 1 species